rnacentral:rRNA from 1 species
CCUACGGGGUGCAGCAGUGGGGAAUAUUGCGCAAUGGGCGAAAGCCUGACGCAGCGACGCCGCGUGAGGGAUGAAGGUCUUCGGAUCGUAAACCUCUGUCAGCAGGGAAGAACGGUCACUGUGCUAAUCAGCAGUGAAUUGACGGUACCUGCAAAGGAAGCACCGGCUAACUCCGUGCCAGCAGCCGCGGUAAUACGGAGGGUGCGAGCGUUAAUCGGAAUUACUGGGCGUAAAGCGCUCGUAGGCGGUAUGUCAAGUCAAGGGUGAAAUCCCCGCGCUCAACGUGGGAACUGCCUUUGAAACUGGCAGACUGGAGUGUGUGAGAGGAUGGUGGAAUUCCAGGUGUAGGAGUGAAAUCCGUAGAUAUCUGGAGGAACAUCAGUGGCGAAGGCGACUAUCUGGCACAUAACUGACGCUGAGGAGCGAAAGCGUGGGUAGCAAACAGGAUUAGAUACCCGAGUAGUC